AACUGACUACAAAGCCUUACAACACCUGCCACUGCUGUAGUGGCGGCUGAUGUGACAGCUCUGCUUUCAGAAUGAUCUCAGCUUCUGCUGUUGCUGAUGGGGAAAACAGAUUUCCUCCACCAUCUGCUUCUUCAAUGAUUCAACAGGCCAAAAAGUGCUUGCUCAUAGCUCAGCCUGCACCACUAUGGUUGUGACUUCAGGCUAAGCUGGAUGCAAUGCUGCUUAGCCUGGGGAGGAAGGAAGAGGAGCGACUGUGUCGAGUAUGAAUUUGAUGGGUUACAUCAUCUCACCUAUUGCUCUGCUCUUUUAAUGACAACCAAAGAAGACCUGGAUGACCACCAAACUGUUUUGGAAAAGACACCUCAACACUAUGGGUCUGAAAGGAUGCGUAGCUGCUAAAAAUCCAUUCCUGAGCGGCUGGUGUUCUCAGAACAAUGGACUGGCCUCCCCAGAGCCCAUUUGAAUAUGUUCAGGAUUACUUGGAUGGUGAACAGCAGAAAAUGCAACGAACUUCUAUGACUGAACUUCGGAGAUAUGAAAAAGUAUCUCUGCAGAUUACUUUGAGGAACCGAAACAGUCUCUUGAAAAGAAUGGAAGCUGGAAUAAAAGGAGCCAGUGUCUACGGCUUGUUGUCAAAACACGAGGAUUUUAUGCGCAGCAUUACCUGUUGCAUUUGCACAUCCCAAUGAAAGCACAAUAAACACAAAAUACCCAAAA